rnacentral:rRNA from 1 species
UACGGAGGGUGCAAGCGUUGAUCGGAAUUACUGGGAGUAAAGCGCACGUAGGCGGUCGGAUAAGUCGGAUGUGAAAGCCCUGGGCUUAACCUGGGAACUGCAUUAGAUACUGUCUGGCUAGAGUAUGGGAGAGGGAAGUAGAAUUUCCGGUGUAGCGGUGAAAUGCGUAGAUAUCGGAAGGAAUACCAAUGGCGAAGGCAGCUUCCUGGGCCAAUACUGACGCUCAGGUGUGAAAGCGUGGGGAUCAAACAGG